rnacentral:rRNA from 1 species
AACGAACGCUGGCGGCAGGCCUAACACAUGCAAGUCGAACGCCGUAGCAAUACGGAGUGGCAGACGGGUGAGUAACGCGUGGGAACAUACCCUUCGGUUCGGAAUAACUCAGGGAAACUUGAGCUAAUACCGGAUACGUCCAAGGGUUGCCUUGGAGAAAGAUUUAUCGCCGGAGGAUUGGCCCGCGUCUGAUUAGCUAGUUGGUGAGGUAAUGGCUCACCAAGGCGACGAUCAGUAGCUGGUCUGAGAGGAUGAUCAGCCACAUUGGGACUGAGACACGGCCCAAACUCCUACGGGAGGCAGCAGUGGGGAAUAUUGGACAAUGGGCGCAAGCCUGAUCCAGCCAUGCCGCGUGAGUGACGAAGGCCUUAGGGUUGUAAAGCUCUUUUACCCGGGAAGAUAAUGACGGUACCGGGAGAAUAAGCCCCGGCUAACUUCGUGCCAGCCGCCGCGGUAAGAC